GGAUGAACGCUAGCGGCAGGCCUAACACAUGCAAGUCGAACGGUAACAUGAGAGCUUGCUCUUGAUGACGAGUGGCGCACGGGUGCGUAACGCGUAUGCAACCUACCUUUAACUGGAGAAUAGCCUUUAGAAAUGAAGAAUAAUACUCCAUAAUAUUAUCUUACGGCAUCGUAAGAUUCUUAAAGCUUCGGCGGUUAAAGAUGGGCAUGCGUUCUAUUAGUUAGUUGGUGAGGUAAUGGCUCACCAAGACUCCGAUAGAUAGGGGGCCUGAGAGGGUUAUCCCCCACACUGGUACUGAGACACGGACCAGACUCCUACGGGAGGCAGCAGUGAGGAAUAUUGCACAAUGGACGAAAGUCUGAUGCAGCCAUGCCGCGUGCAGGAUGAAUGCCCUAUGGGUUGUAAACUGCUUUUAUAUAGGAAGAAACCCGAGAACGUGUUCUCGGCUGACGGUACUAUAAGAAUAAGGACCGGCUAACUCCGUGCCAGCAGCCGCGGUAAUACGGAGGGUCCAAGCGUUAUCCGGAUUUAUUGGGUUUAAAGGGUCCGUAGGCGGGAAAAUAAGUCAGUGGUGAAAGCCUGCAGCUCAACUGCAGAACUGCCAUUGAAACUGGAAAUCUUGAGUAUAUAUGAAGUGGGCGGAAUGUGUCAUGUAGCGGUGAAAUGCAUAGAUAUGACACAGAACACCGAUUGCGAAGGCAGCUCACUAAACUAUAACUGACGCUGAGGGACGAAAGCGUGGGGAGCGAACAGGAUUAGAUACCCUGGUAGUCCACGCCGUAAACGAUCAUCACUCGCUGUUGGCGAUACACAGUCAGCGGCCAAGCGAAAGCAUUAAGUGAUGCACCUGGGAAGUACGGUCGCAAGAUUGAAACUCAAAGGAAUUGACGGGGGCCCGCACAAGCGGUGGAGCAUGUGGUUUAAUUCGAUGAUACGCGAGGAACCUUACCUGGGCUUAAAUGCAGAUUGACAGAUUGGGAAACCGAUUUUUCUUCGGACAAUUUGCAAGGUGCUGCAUGGUUGUCGUCAGCUCGUGCCGUGAGGUGUCAGGUUAAGUCCUAUAACGAGCGCAACCCCUAUCUUUAGUUGCCAGCGGUUCGGCCGGGGACUCUAAAGAAACUGCCAGCGCAAGCUGUGAGGAAGGUGGGUGAGACGUCAAAUCAUCACGGCCCUUACGUCCUGGGCUACACACGUGCUACAAUGGUGUUGACAGAGGGCAGCCACUUGGCAACAAGGAGCGAAUCCCAAAACGCUAUCUCAGUUCGGAUUGGAGUCUGCAACUCGACUCCAUGAAGCUGGAAUCGCUAGUAAUCGCGCAUCAGCCAUGGCGCGGUGAAUACGUUCCCGGGCCUUGUACUCACCGCCC
rnacentral:rRNA from 1 species